UAGUGCUCCUUAUAUCUAGAGAAGUUUCUCACAUGAUUCAGGCCAUGUGCUGUGUGAAAAGUGUUAGUCAAAGCUUUGGUGCUGUUCAAAAAGCAUGAACUCAGAAGUCAGAACCAUGGUGAUGCGACGCAGACAUCUCUGUUGGCAGAAAGAUGUCUUUAGUUCUCUUAUGCUUGGAAUGGCGGAACAAGUUAAGUAUUUCUAACUUUUAUUUGUUUCACGGUAGAUACCUCAUGGCACACUGGAAGUGAGUCUGCACCAUGAUUGCACCAUUUGUUUUACGGUAGAUACCUCAUGGCACACCGGAAGUGAGUCUGCACAUGAUUGCACCAAUGUGCAUAAUCGUUCUGAUAGUAGAGAUACUAAUAGGGUUAUCUUUAUUAGGAAGGACCACCUGUGUAGACCUUAGCAGAAGUUGUCUUGCUUGUGAUUAUUCUUUGUUUUGCACACCUAAUACGUGCAAACCUAUGUGAACUUGUGAAGCUUGCAGCUGCUAUGAAAUCAGCUGGUUUCCUGGGUGGACAAGCCAACUCAAUAUUGUUUUUGCCUGCUUUGCAUAAAAAACAGGAGGCCAUGGCUAAUAAAAAUUGAGGCUGCCACCAUGGUUGGCAACAGCAAUCUGGGUUGAUAAUUGGUGGAUUCUGCCUAAAAAUAUGGCAACCAGAGAAGAAAAAGCAAAGCCUGGAAUUUAUUUACAUGGAGGGGAAAACAAAAUAGUGCGAUAUAAGAGGAAAGCAGUAAGCCUCAUAUGGAACUAAUUUUCAGUAUGUCACAUAUGCAUAUGUCCACACAACCCCAUAAUUUUCUUAUUGUAACCUCUUAUAAUCUGAUGUCUUCCUAAUUAAAACUAAUUGCUGGCAUUCAUCCUUUGUAAUUUCAGUUAGAAGAAUUUGUUGAGAUGUACAUGUAUCUAAUUUGAUAUGUGUUUUCCUUUGGCAAUGGUGGACAACUAGGAAUGUACAUUAACUCUGAGGUCGUCGGCUGUCAGAAGAUAAAUUCCAGUACUUUGUGCAGUCUCUAUUACGGGAGUGCAAACAAUGGAGAAACAAACAGUUAUACUUGUGUACAAAUGGGGAACCAAGAGUUCCUUUUGUGAAGAUCAACCGCCAUGUGUUGUUCCUGUAGCAAAACAAAACAGAUGGUUAGGGCUUCAACUUCAGAAAUUGUGAGGACAAAUUCAUUUUUGCUGGUGCUGGGAAUUUACCCCAUGUGCAAGAUGCCAUGCAUGCAAAAUUGGAGAGCUGCAUACAUGUUAUUAAAUCUGCAAUUGAGCUUAUCUUAGGCAAUAUUAUCUUUGAGAUAGAUGCUCUACUGGUGAAGCGAGCACCAAAGAGAGAUGCAUAUGACCUAUCAAUAUAUGAGAAUAUUAUUCAGGAAACAAAUAAGCCAUUGCGUGCUUGUUUUACUCGUGUUCAUCUUUCUUGUUGUAAGCGUGAUUGUAACAUUGUAACCCAUGAAUUAGCAAGUAUUGGAUCUAUGAUGGAGUCAGCCACGACCAUAAGUUGGCUGAAUAUGUUCCUGAUUGUAUUUCACUCAUGGUGGCAAGUGAUUCUGCUGUCAACCUCGAUGAAUUAUACUCAUUUUAUGCAG